rnacentral:misc_RNA from 1 species
AAGUCGUAACAAGGUUUCCGUAGGUGAACCGCGGAAGGAUCAUUAACACGUAUCCAACGUUAAACCCCCCGUGAACUUUUAUUGCGAACCACGCCUUUGUUAGAAAGUAGCAAUCCCUGGUAAAUCAUCGCCGAACAGUUUUGAUUCAGGGAUCUCUGCGAAGAGAGCGGUUGUAGCGCGAGGUAAGUGGCCUGGCAUUCCUCUGCUUGUUAGUGUCUGACAGUGUCACUAGCUCUGUACGAAUGGCGCAGUCACGAUCGCUAGAGGCCGACACGGCCGGCGACCGGGUCACCGGGCAUAGACCCCCCUAUCACCUUUGCAUGAAAACGGGCCUGCGCUUAAUUGUGCGGCCACCAAACUCGAACAACUGUUAACAAUGGAUAUCUUGGUUCUC